AUUGAACGCUGGCGGUAUGCCUUACACAUGCAAGUCGAACGGCAGCAGGCUUUGAGCUUCCUCCUACUGGCGGCGGGUUGCGUACUACAUCGGAACACGUCCGAACCUACUUUUUCACGGGGGGUAAGCUUUGCUAACAUCCGCUACGAUCUCCUGCUGAAAACGGGUGAACGCAAGGCCUUUUCCGGCCUUGCCGGCCUGUAUGAGCCGAUGUCGGAUUAGCUAGUUGGCGGGGUAAAGGCCCACCAAGGCGACGAUCCGUAGCUGGUCUGAGAGGAUGAUCAGCCACACUGGAACUGAGACACGGUCCAGACUCCUACGGGAGGCAGCAGUGGGGAAUAUUGGACAAUGGGCGCAAGCCUGAUCCAGCCAUACCGCGUGGGUGAUGAAGGCCUUCGGGUUGUAAAGCGCUUUUGUACGGAAAGAAAAGCAUUAGGUUAAUACCGGGGGGUUAUGACGGUACCGAAAGAAUAAGCACCGGCUAACUACGUG
rnacentral:rRNA from 1 species